UACGUAGGUGGCAAGCGUUGUCCGGAUUUACUGGGCGUAAAGAGCGCGCAGGCGGUCGGAUAAGUCGAAUGUGAAAGCCCCCGGCUCAACUGGGGAGGGUCAUUCGAUACUGUUCGACUCGAAGGCAGGAGAGGGAAGUGGAAUUCCUGGUGUAGCGGUGAAAUGCGCAGAUAUCAGGAGGAACACCAAUUGCGAAGGCAGCUCGCUGGGACGUUACUGACGCUGAGACGCGAAAGCGUGGGGAGCAAACAGG
rnacentral:rRNA from 1 species